rnacentral:rRNA from 1 species
AAAUUGAAGAGUUUGAUCAUGGCUCAGAUUGAACGCUGGCGGCAGGCCUAACACAUGCAAGUCGAGCGGUAGCACAGAGAGCUUGCUCUCGGGUGACGAGCGGCGGACGGGUGAGUAAUGUCUGGGAAACUGCCUGAUGGAGGGGGAUAACUACUGGAAACGGUAGCUAAUACCGCAUAAUGUCGCAAGACCAAAGUGGGGGACCUUCGGGCCUCAUGCCAUCAGAUGUGCCCAGAUGGGAUUAGCUAGUAGGUGGGGUAACGGCUCACCUAGGCGACGAUCCCUAGCUGGUCUGAGAGGAUGACCAGCCACACUGGAACUGAGACACGGUCCAGACUCCUACGGGAGGCAGCAGUGGGGAAUAUUGCACAAUGGGCGCAAGCCUGAUGCAGCCAUGCCGCGUGUGUGAAGAAGGCCUUCGGGUUGUAAAGCACUUUCAGCGGGGAGGAAGGCGNAAGGUUANNNNNNNNNNGAUUGACGUUACCCGCAGAAGAAGCACCGGCUAACUCCGUGCCAGCAGCCGCGGUAAUACGGAGGGUGCAAGCGUUAAUCGGAAUUACUGGGCGUAAAGCGCACGCAGGCGGUCUGUCAAGUCGGAUGUGAAAUCCCCGGGCUCAACCUGGGAACUGCAUUCGAAACUGGCAGGCUAGAGUCUUGUAGAGGGGGGUAGAAUUCCAGGUGUAGCGGUGAAAUGCGUAGAGAUCUGGAGGAAUACCGGUGGCGAAGGCGGCCCCCUGGACAAAGACUGACGCUCAGGUGCGAAAGCGUGGGGAGCAAACAGGAUUAGAUACCCUGGUAGUCCACGCCGUAAACGAUGUCGAUUUGGAGGUUGUGCCCUUGAGGCGUGGCUUCCGGAGCUAACGCGUUAAAUCGACCGCCUGGGGAGUACGGCCGCAAGGUUAAAACUCAAAUGAAUUGACGGGGGCCCGCACAAGCGGUGGAGCAUGUGGUUUAAUUCGAUGCAACGCGAAGAACCUUACCUGGUCUUGACAUCCACAGAACUUUCCAGAGAUGGAUUGGUGCCUUCGGGAACUGUGAGACAGGUGCUGCAUGGCUGUCGUCAGCUCGUGUUGUGAAAUGUUGGGUUAAGUCCCGCAACGAGCGCAACCCUUAUCCUUUGUUGCCAGCGGUCNGGCCGGGAACUCAAAGGAGACUGCCAGUGAUAAACUGGAGGAAGGUGGGGAUGACGUCAAGUCAUCAUGGCCCUUACGACCAGGGCUACACACGUGCUACAAUGGCAUAUACAAAGAGAAGCGACCUCGCGAGAGCAAGCGGACCUCAUAAAGUAUGUCGUAGUCCGGAUUGGAGUCUGCAACUCGACUCCAUGAAGUCGGAAUCGCUAGUAAUCGUAGAUCAGAAUGCUACGGUGAAUACGUUCCCGGGCCUUGUACACACCGCCCGUCACACCAUGGGAGUGGGUUGCAAAAGAAGUAGGUAGCUUAACCUUCGGGAGGGCGCUUACCACUUUGUGAUUCAUGACUGGGGUGAAGUCGUAACAAGGUAACCGUAGGGGAACCUGCGGUUGGAUCACCUCCUUA